UACGUAGGGGCAAGCGUUGUCCGGAAUUACUGGGCGUAAAGCGCACGCAGGCUGAAUUAUAAGUCGGUAGUCAAAGGCGGAGGCUCAACCUCUGUAUAUCUAUCGAUACUGUAAAUCUGGAGUAUGUGAGAGGGAAGCGGAAUUCCCUGUGUAGCGGUGAAAUGCGUAGAUAUCGGGAGGAACACCAGUGGCGAAGGCGGCUUCCUGGCACAAUACUGACGCUCAUGUGCGAAAGCUAGGGCAGCGAACGGGAUUA
rnacentral:rRNA from 1 species